GUCUCUUUGGCAGGACUCUCCACCCCGGGUUGGUGUCCAACUGGGCAUCUAAAAGCGCGUGCAUUACACGCGGCGUUUGUCUAACGCCUCACCCAAAAAACAGUAAAACUGCAGGUUGGAAAUUGCGGUGCGGAGGAGAUCAAAAAUUGCGGUGAACUCUAGAGUCGGAGCUGAAACUCUUUUUUGGGUCUCUGAGAAGAUUAAAUCUCAAGUGGAAGUCCGUCGAUCGAUCUCCCAGCCGAGUAGAUCAAAUCUAUCGCAGUUGGGAAUCAUCGGUUGUUUAUGGAUCUCAGUUGCUGCUUACGGCUCGAUUACUGCAUUUGUGGGAGUAUGCAAUAAGCAAUAGGGGAAGUGAGCUGCUUCAGCUGUUGUGAUGAAGAUGAUAUGCAUAAAGCAACUGACAAUGGAGGUGCUUACAUGAUGAACCUGCAAGUAAUGCUCACCAUCCUAUAGUCUAGGUCUUGUGUUGAAUCUUGGGAAUGUUUAAUUAUGCAAGCAUUUCACUGAUAUGAUCUAGCUUCUUAAGCAACAAAGAAUGUAUUCACUUAUCAUAAUCUUUAUUAAACUUAAUUAUUUAAUGUAAUCUUGAAUAGUUUUUUUUUAUGAGCUAAGAUUCUCAUAAAUGGAGACCAUCCAUGUACUUAUAAAAUGGUUGAUCAUCACCUUAAAAGACUAAAGUGGCGAACAUGCCAUAAUUUCUACUUUAUGAACACCAUCAUCUCAUUUGAUUGUAAAAUCUAGCUGAUUGAAAGUAAAUAAGCAUGAAAUUAGCUGUAACUGGAGGAGUAAAUUUGGACAUCACCAUCAUCCAGUUCACCAUAUAAUAAUCCCAUCUCUGUUGUGUGUCUAUGAUUAAUGAGAUUAAAGCUUAAAUUCAGGAAAUUUUGUUAAACAGCAACCAAUUAGGUUCCACAUGAGGUUCUUGCUGUUGCUGGUCAAAAACGUUUUCCAGAAAUUUUUUUUUUUUUUGUUUUUUUGUUUUUCACCAUGUAAUAAUGCUAUACAUACCGACGCAGUCAAGAAGUUGCCAAAUAUGGGGAUUACGGAUUGACCCGAAUAGAAUUUCAAUUUCUUUCACUUGGAAUCCCUCUAUCGAGCAAGGUCAUAAACAUAUCUGCUGCGUAUUUGAACGAUACGGACCUUGACAUAUGGUUUCUUCCAACUUAUUUUGCUGUAUGUAAUUUCAUGGUCUACUGUAGCGUGUAUAUAUAUUUUUAAAUGUUGAAAAGUUGCAUUUUAAUGUAUGGAGGAGCAUAUUGCCUUGUAUGACAAGAACGUGCUAGGUCACAUGAGGAAGCACAAGGUUAUGUUGACUUGCUUGAUUCAACCAUUUAUAUG